AACCCGUGGUGAGGACAUCUUCUAAGUAAAUCCUUGUACCUCUCUUAAGCCUCGUACAACAACUCUGAAUCUAGUUGCAUGAAUGAUGUAAUGUCAUUUCUCAUCUU
rnacentral:snoRNA from 1 species